UACGUAGGGGGCAAGCGUUAUCCGGAAUUACUGGGUGUAAAGGGAGCGUAGACGGUAAUGUAAGUCUGGAGUGAAAGGCGGGGGCCCAACCCCCGGACUGCUCUGGAAACUAUGUUACUAGAGUGCAGGAGAGGUAAGCGGAAUUCCUAGUGUAGCGGUGAAAUGCGUAGAUAUUAGGAGGAACACCAGUGGCGAAGGCGGCUCUCUGGCCUGUAACUGACACUGAGGCUCGAAAGCGUGGGGAGCAAACAGG
rnacentral:rRNA from 1 species